rnacentral:rRNA from 1 species
AGCGAACGCUGGCGGCAGGCCUAACACAUGCAAGUCGAACGAACUCUUCGGAGUUAGUGGCGGACGGGUGAGUAACACGUGGGAACGUGCCUUUUUGUUCGGAAUAACUCAGGGAAACUUGUGCUAAUACCGAAUGUGCUCUUCGGGGGAAAGAUUUAUCGCCAUUAGAGCGGCCCGCGUCUGAUUAGCUAGUUGGUGAGGUAAGGGCUCACCAAGGCGACGAUCAGUAGCUGGUCUGAGAGGAUGAACAGCGACACUGGGACUGAGGCACGGCCCAGACUCCUACGGGAGGCAGCAGUGGGGGAUCUUGCGCAAUGGGAGAUAGCGUGCCGCAGCCAUGCCGAGUAAAUGAUGAAGGUCUUAGGAUUGUAAAAUUCUUUCACCGGGGACGAUAAUGACGGUACCCGGAGAAGAAGCCCCGGCUAACUUCGUG